UAGAAACUAGUUAAUUAAAUAAUAUAAGGUUGUCAACUUUAAGUUGCUAAGUUUUAGCGUUUCUAA
rnacentral:tRNA from 1 species